rnacentral:rRNA from 1 species
UGGGGAAUAUUGCGCAAUGGGCGAAAGCCUGACGCAGCGACGCCGCGUGAGGGACGACGGCCUUCGGGUUGUAAACCUCUUUCAGCAGGGACGAAGCGAAAGUGACGGUACCUGCAGAAGAAGCACCGGCCAACUACGUGCCAGCAGCCGCGGUAAUACGUAGGGUGCAAGCGUUGUCCGGAAUUACUGGGCGUAAAGAGCUCGUAGGCGGUUUGUCACGUCGGAUGUGAAAGCCCGAGGCUCAACCUCGGGUCUGCAUACGAUACGGGCAGACUAGAGUUCGGUAGGGGAGACUGGAAUUCCUGGUGUAGCGGUGAAAUGCGCAGAUAUCAGGAGGAACACCGGUGGCGAAGGCGGGUCUCUGGGCCGAUACUGACGCUGAGGAGCGAAAGCGUGGGGAGCAAACAGG